rnacentral:rRNA from 1 species
GAUGAACGCUGGCGGCGUGCUUAACACAUGCAAGUCGAACGGAAAGGCCCAAGCUUGCUUGGGUACUCGAGUGGCGAACGGGUGAGUAACACGUGGGUGAUCUGCCCUGCACUUCGGGAUAAGCCUGGGAAACUGGGUCUAAUACCGGAUAGGACCACUUCUUGGAUGUUGUGGUGGAAAGUUUUUUCGGUGUGGGAUGAGCUCGCGGCCUAUCAGCUUGUUGGUGGGGUAAUGGCCUACCAAGGCGUCGACGGGUAGCCGGCCUGAGAGGGUGUACGGCCACAUUGGGACUGAGAUACGGCCCAGACUCCUACGGGAGGCAGCAGUGGGGAAUAGUGCACAAUGGGCGCAAGCCUGAUGCAGCGACGCCGCGUGGGGGAUGACGGCCUUCGGGUUGUAAACUCCUUUCGCUAGGGACGAAGCGUUUUGUGACGGUACCUGGAGAAGAAGCACCGGCUAACUACGUG